GAUCCUGGCUCAGGACGAACGCUGGCGGCGUGCCUAAUACAUGCAAGUAGAACGCUGAGGGAGGAGCUUGCUUCUCUGGAUGAGUUGCGAACGGGUGAGUAACGCGUGGGUAACCUGCCUGGUAGCGGGGGAUAACUAUUGGAAACGAUAGCUAAUACCGCAUAAGAGUAGAUGUUGCAUGACAUUUACUUAAAAGGUGCAAUUGCAUCACUACCAGAUGGACCUGCGUUG
rnacentral:rRNA from 1 species